rnacentral:lncRNA from 1 species
AGGGAACAUCGAAAAGGAAACAAUAACCAGGGAUAUCGGCGUUGGAGCCAAAUUCACGCGCCUUCUGAAGAACCGCGUGGGAAGCACAGAGGAGGAGGGCCGCGCAGUUCGGGAGGUUCUAAGGCAGGAGAGCCCAGGCCAUCUGGUCUCAUCAGGCAGUGGUUGGGCCUUGGCUUGCAGCCAGGGCCUCUUCCCAAGCUGCUCUGGAAAAAAAAAAAGCAACUGUGCGAAGGAUUCACCUAUGCCUCGGUUUCAAGCCCUAAGAUCACUGCCUGUCUCCCCCCACACCUUCCUCAGCAUCACCCCCUGAGCACUUGUUCAUGGCACAAUUCCUGGGCGCCCCCUCUGUGCCAUGGCCUGUGUUUGCGGCUGGGAGGAAGGAGGGAAGACAGGAUCCUGUCCGCAGGUCCGAGCAACUAUGGCCGGAGCUGUCAUCAGCGUCCAGAUGGGGCAGUCGUGUCUGCCACCUCCUUCCCCCUCCUGCUGCCUGUGGCCUUUAUUUUCCAGACUGAGCUUUAAUGGUAAGGUUUUUCACCUGGUGAAUGUGCUUUGGGUGAAGUCUGCUCCAGGUUGAGAUAUAAAUAGUGUUUAUGUAUAUGUUAUUCAAAAUUCUGCAGAACCGGGGCUCUUCCCUAAGGCUGAGUACAGCUCUCUCUUGCCCUGGUGGUAGACUGCCUGCCUCCCCACUAGACUGAAAAAACCAUUUGAAGGCUCUCUCCCCGCCUCAGGCCCCACAGUGCCCAAGGAACCACAGCGGUGAGCCCCGUGCCUGGCACAGAGUGGGUUCACAGUAGAGCCCAUCUGACAGGCAGAGGCCCCUCAGAAAGGAGAGGCAGCACUGGUCCCACAGGCCCCCAGGGCCCUGCCACUUCUCUCCCGAACUUCCUCAUCCGUAGAUCAGAGAUCAUAAUGUCCUUCUUGUGGGAUCCCUGGGAGGAUCACAGACUGUGAAUGUAAAACCAAAACAACAAGUGGCAAGGGGCCCUCUCGUAAAGAGUUUUCUAGAGAAUCAUUUUGGAAUGGAGUUGAAAUUUCCAGGAAAAAGGUUCUUCUGCCAACAAACAUUUUUUGACCACCUCUGUGCUAGGUGCCCUGGCACCUGGGAGUACCUGAGAACAAGGGAACCAAGACUGAAAGGCAAGGAAGGUGAGCAGAAGUGAGUGGUCAUGAGCAGGGCAGAUGACACUGAGGGGCCAGACAAGGAGCCAGGGAUGUGGGUGCUCAGUAAGCAUUUUCCCGGAUCCAGGGACAGACACAGAGGGCACCAUCUCCUCUGCCCUCAGGUGGGGACUGAGUCGGGCGGAAGGGCCGUGCAGAGAUUCACC